rnacentral:tRNA from 1 species
UUCUCGAUAGUAUAGUGGUGAGUAUCUCCGCCUGUUACGCGGAAGACCAGGGUUCAAUUCCCCGUCGGGGAG